rnacentral:rRNA from 1 species
UACAGAGGUGGCAAGCGUUGUUCGGAAUUACUGGGCGUAAAGGGCUCGUAGGCGGCCAACUAAGUCAGACGUGAAAUCCCCAGGCUUAACCUGGGAACUGCGUCUGAUACUGGAUGGCUUGAAUUCGGGAGAGGGAUGCAGAAUUCCAGGUGUAGCGGUGAAAUGCGUAGAUAUCUGGAGGAAUACCGGUGGCGAAGGCGGCAUCCUGGACCGACAUUGACGCUGAGGAGCGAAAGCUAGGGGAGCAAACGGG